ACAGGAACUAGAUCAACGAAAAAAACAACAAUUCCAACAGCUACACACGCAGAAAUCAGCAGGAGAGGACGCAGCUAAUCAAGCUGCCAUUAGAGCGCUCUCCUCUGCUGAGCGAACCCCAGCUACACUUCCUGACACCGCUGCAUCAUCCACAGAGGUACCUCUAUCAGUUUAGUUGGACUGGGCAUAGCAUCCUUCAUGUACAUCACCCCAAAUAAAGGGUCUGGAGCUCCUUCUGUCUCCUCCAUGAAAGACAGGGCAUCAGGGUUCUCCAGAGAUUGCCUGAGAGAUAACAGGAGGUGAAGAGCUGGCCCACAACGGACUGAAGCUCCUCUGGAAGGACACAACGUCAAGAGCGAACACAUUUGUGUCAGCAUCUCCUUCCUCACAAGUGUUGACAAUUUACCAGGUUGUUCAUUUUUACCCAGGAGAAUGGCACACUGUCGGUG